ACGAGUUAGGGUCUUCUAGGCCCGACCUCCCAACCCUAUGUUUAUUGAACCUCUGUUGCUUCGGCGGACCCGCCUCACGGCCGCCGGAGGACCGCCGCAAGGCGUCCUCUGGCCAGCGUCCGCCGAUGGCCAACCACUUAAACUCUGAAUGAAUCGUGUCAUAUGUCUAAGUCUAUGAUUAAAUUAAAGCA
rnacentral:misc_RNA from 1 species